rnacentral:rRNA from 1 species
AUUGAACGCUGGCGGCAUGCCUUACACAUGCAAGUCGAACGGCAGCACGGGAGCUUGCUCCUGGUGGCGAGUGGCGAACGGGUGAGUAAUGCAUCGGAACGUACCCGGAAGUGGGGGAUAACGUAGCGAAAGUUACGCUAAUACCGCAUAUUCUGCGAGCAGGAAAGAGGGGGAUCGCAAGACCUCUCGCUUUCGGAGCGGCCGAUGUCGGAUUAGCUAGUUGGUGGGGUAAAGGCCUACCAAGGCGACGAUCCGUAGCGGGUCUGAGAGGAUGAUCCGCCGCACUGGAACUGAGACACGGUCCAGACUCCUACGGGAGGCAGCAGUGGGGAAUUUUGGAACAUGGGCGAAAGCCUGAUCCAGCCAUGCCGCGUGAGUGAAGAAGGCCUUCGGGUUGUAAAGCUCUUUCGGCUGAAAAGAAAUCGCACAGGCUAAUACCCUGUGUGGAUGACGGUAUCAGCAUAAGAAGCACCGGCUAACUACGUGCCAGCCGCCGCGGUAA